AUUGAACGCUGGCGGCAUGCCUUACACAUGCAAGUCGAACGGCAGCACGGGAGCAAUCCUGGUGGCGAGUGGCGAACGGGUGAGUAAGGUAUCGGAACGUGCCCAGUCGUGGGGGAUAACGUAGCGAAAGUUACGCUAAUACCGCAUACGAUCUAUGGAUGAAAGCGGGGGAUCGCAAGACCUCGCGCGAUUGGAGCGGCCGAUAUCAGAUUAGGUAGUUGGUGGGGUAAAGGCUCACCAAGCCGACGAUCUGUAGCUGGUCUGAGAGGAGGGCCAGCCACACUCGGACUGAAACACGGCCCAGACUCCUGCGGGAGGCAGCAGUGGGGAAUUUUGGACAAUGGGCGAAAGCCUGAUUCAGCCAUGCCGCGUGCAGGAUGAAGGCCUUCGGGUUGUAAACUGCUUUUGUACGGAACGAAAAGGUUUGGGCUAAUAAGCUGAGCUCAUGACGGUACCGUAAGAAUAAGCACCGGCUAACUACGUGCCAGCCGCCGCCGUAA
rnacentral:rRNA from 1 species